rnacentral:lncRNA from 1 species
ACUGAGUCUAGUCGGUACACCACCGAAGCGAAAAACCAAUCGGAAGACGCGCCCCUUCGAGCGCACGAAUUCGACCCGCCAACCCCCCUUUUGCUUCCCUCGAGACGAUCUCUCGAGGAGACACCUACACGCAUAAACCUAUAUACAAAAAAAAAACCGGACUCUCAAAAAUCGAUGAUAUAAGUUUGAA